AUUAGCACCCAAGCAGGACCUGCUGAACCUGGGGCCCUAUAGGAGAGCACUGAUGGCCCACCCCUGAUUGUGGCCCUGGUCUUCAUGUCUGCAUCAGCCUCAGCCAUCUCAAGACCACAACGAGAACAUAGCAAAGUCAGAGAAGGAAGACCAAAAGCACCAGGGCCCUUCAUAUUAUUAAGCUGCUAAAUUAACUAAUCUUGGAAACUUCUAGACUCUACAAUUCUUGUUGUAUGAGAACUUCUAGCAACUAACCCUGGCAUGACCACCAGAAUCUGCAGGGCUGAGAGAAGAAAGAAAGGCAAAAGUGGAUGAAUGCAGCUGAAGAUGCUGUGGAACUCCUAUCACAUUCCAAGUGCUGUGUAGAUAUCUGGAGAUAUAGACAAGAUCGAAGCAGAUGCAGUCUUUCACAUGAAUAUUUGAAUCAGGCUCUUCCUGGAACAGCCUCCCAGCUUGGGUGCCUGACAACCUCAUUCAUUCUUCAAGCUUCUGUUCAAAUGCUACCUCUUCUGAGAAGGCAAUGCUUCCAGAGGUCUUGUUGGGAAUAAAAUUGGAAGCUGCUUUAUCAGGCUGUUGGAGAUUAAAGGAAAUAAUAUGUGUCAAGUGCUUAGAUAAAUGAUGGCACACAAACAGGACUGGGACAGCCUCAGCAAGGAAGAAGUGGAGAGUGGCUGUGCAGUAAGCAUCCGAUAAAUCCUCUGUAUGAUAAGCCCAACAGGUCAAGAGGUGAUUGCCAUUGAAAUGACACUUUGUUGAUCACAGUUCCCAAGCAGACAGGCAUGCCACACUCUGCAGGACCACACGGGGAAUCACUGGAGGACCACCCAUUCCCAAUGCUGUGGACAGUCUGCAUGCCAAGGCUCCGUGGGAAUUUUGGAGAAGCAACUGUUUUAAUUUCCAUUAUCUCUGUUGGUGCAGUCCCUACACUAGGAUUUGGCAAGCAUCAUGGUAAUUGAACCAAGGACCAUCCAGCAGACACCAAGCUGUCAUUGGACUCAUUCCUAUACAACCUUCACAGAGGACAUUUUGACCCUUUUUCUUUAUGAGAAGUGCCUCUCCUCAGGCUCACUCAUUCUCAGGUAAAGAGCCCUUUCUCACAUCCGGUCUGUUUGUUUUCCGGGUGUACAAAGCACGCACAUUCCUCAAUCCAAGUUUAGGUUCAAGAUGUGACUCUUGCUACAUGUAAAUUACAAAUAAGAAUCUACUUUGUGAGGCUGGGCGUGGUGGCUCACGCCUGUAAUCCUAGCACUUUGGGAGGCUGAGGUGGCCAGAUUGACUGAGCUCAGGAGUUUGAGACCAGCCUGGGCAACAGGAUGAAACCCCAUCUCUACUAAAACAUACAAAAAAUUAGCCGGGGGUGGUGGUGCUUGCCUAUAGUUUCAGCUCCUCGAGAGGUUGAGGCAGGAGAAUCGCCUGAACCUGGGAGGCAAAGGUUGCACUGAGCCGAGACUGUGCCACUGCACUCCAGCCUGGAUGACAGAGUGAGACUCCAUCUCAAAAAAAAAAAAAAAAAAAAAACUACCGUGUGGUAUUGAGAAUUAAAUGAAUAGUGUGUGUAUAUUGUGUGCAAUGCAUUUGGAAAGGCACCUGGGGAGAAGGAAGAGGGAUUCAAGGGAAGAGGCAGGAAGAAGCCCCAGAGCUGGUGUCUGAAAGGUGUCACACCAUAGCCUUGAUGCAUGACAGAACUCCAGGAUGCAUGUGUAAUGCACAAGAGGAAACUUCAGGGAGAGGGUUCACUCCAAGAUAAAAUGGCUGUUUGGUGCAACUAUGAGUGCUGGGCCAAGCCUGCCGCACUGACUUUCCUCAUUUAAGCGUGACCCAGGAAGAGCAAGAAAGUUAUCAUAUUGGGAAGAUUCUUGAAGAUGGGUCCAGAGACAUCCCAGUGAUGAACUGCUUGGACCUACCUGAGCCCAAAGUGAGAAGUUGCACAUCCCAGGAGAACGAAGGAAAAAAAUCUCCAAUUAAAAUUACAUUUUUCUUUUUCUUGGAAAAAUAAGACUUUGAAAUAGGAAUUAUAUAGUUAUAAACAAUAUUUAUCAUCCCCCCAUAAAAGAAAAAUAUUAUC